GGUUCUAUGGUGUAAUGGUUAGACCUCUGGACUCUAUAUCCAGUGAUCCGAGUUCAAAUAUCAGUAGGACUU
rnacentral:tRNA from 1 species